rnacentral:tRNA from 1 species
GGCGGGCCUGGCGAGGUAUCCCCACACCCCGCCAGCUUGAGCCCGGCGAGGUGUCGGUGCGGCCCCUCCGUACGGGUCUGGGGGAUCGUCA